rnacentral:lncRNA from 1 species
GAAGCGCUAUCUAUUGUCAGAACCAAUAGAUAGCGCUUUUUUUAGAAGCGCUGUCUAUUAAUAGAUAGCGCACGCAUAGAUAGCGCCUAAAAAGCGCUAUCUAUGAUAAAAAAAAGCGCUAUCUAUGCACUUUUUUGUAGUAGUGUGAGCUUGUUGAUUUGCUAUUGUGUGCACACGUUGAGAAGCACGUCACGGGUGGAAGCAACACAUGCGGACAUCCAUUUUGCAGACGUUGAUUUAACUCUUGGAGGAGGCGUUAUUUCAUUUCUGUUGGAGAGAAAGCAUUAAUAUUUUGCUAGCCGAGGCACUCGGAUGUUGAGAAAGGUGGAUGAUCAUGUUGGCUGAGAGAAAUAGUAGCGGUGAUUCAACUCAUGUGCACGUGUGGUCAUUUUUAUUUACUUGAAAUGAAAUAGCUUAAUCCUAGAUUCUAUUUUCAGUGUGAUGCAUUUUUAAUUUGUUGUUUGCUUUAUGAAUGUGUGUUGAAGCUACCGAAAUGAACAUUUUACCUUUUAACUCAACAUUGCAAUUUACUAACAUUAAAUUUGGUUCCUCAAUUUAGCUUCAGUUUAUUGUUUUAAUUUACCAUGUUGUCUUUUAUGUUCGACUCUUAUUAUUUUUCACAUUUACAUCAAUGCUUCUAAUUCUGUUUAAUUGUGUUUAAUUCUCAUGCAUUUAAUUUAGUUUAAUUCUCGUUUAAAACACUUUUCAAACCCCCCCUUCGUGGUAGACUUGACUCUGAACCACAGUUGGUCCUUGAGAGACGACCUAGGGGUCAUUCCCUAGCAUUAUACUACAUUUCUAAAUUGCAAUCAAAUUUGUAUGGGCCGCGACACCCAUCAAAUUUUAGCAGACAGGUCAAGAGGGUGGACAGAAGAAAAUUGAGCCGGUGGGACGAUGAGGAUCCCAAAGUGAAGAAAAAGAGUUGAAUUG